UCCAGCCCCGCCCCACCCCUGUCUGACUCACACGCGAGGCGCCACGGAACCUGUAGUGCGCUUGCUCCGGGCUGCACGCGACUAGAAGAUCGUGGGACCUCAGAACCCAACUUGCACUGCGCGCGCGGGGGGGCGGACAGGCCGCAGAGUCCCCUGGUAGUUGUAGUCCUUUUGGCCUUCCUCUGGAAAGUAGUAGUCUGUGGAGAGGGAACUCCCAGGACAGCGACUAACAGAAAAGUAUAAAAACGGAUGACGCGACGGAAUAGAUGAGGAAAAUGUCUCCAGAGGGGUUGCGGUUUCCGGAAAGGAAUGCCAGAAACCCCAGGGAAAGUGGGGGAAGAAUGACUCGCUCCCUUGCCGGCGUGAAUUUCCUCCGGGGUGUGCGCAUGUGUGCGAUCGUGCGGGCGGUCUUUAAAGGAAAAGCGGCAUGUCAGGGAGCUUCAGCACGGCCACCUGGCAUAUGAGGAGCUCAUACCCAGCAGCUGCUUACCUGGCCAGCCACUAGAGUUGAUUACCGAGCAGAGAAGUGAUCCUUCAGUGGGAUGUGGUGAUGAAACAUAAUGAGUUUGAGCCCUGAAAAGAGACACAUGUGUAGCCCCUGUUUAUGCAGAUUCUACCAUUGCAUGGAACCAACAAUCAGAUCACAGUCUUCAUACUUUUUAGCUCCGUCUUAUUCAUCUGCUGCUUCCAAGGCACAGCUUUGUUGCUGAGGCAAACCAAGCAUCCAUGAAGGUGGAAUUACCACAUUAGAAGCCUUAAGACUACACAAGUCUGUUAACUAUUAAAAGACGUUUUAGGCCUACAGGUCUUUUCCCUUCAUCUGGUUCAUUCAGCUUCCAGGAGCCUGGCAGACAGUAAUAAUCUUCCAUGAGGUAUCUGACCAGUCCAAGAGAGAAAAUGAAGAAACUAAUGCUGAGGGAUUCUGCAAGGAAAUAGGCCAGCCAGAUCACAAGGAGUGACGAUCGUCCGGCAUGGAACACCUAGUGCCACACCGUGCAUGCGCAGCAAACCUCUUAUGUGAAAGCAAGAUAGGGAGAUAGGAAUCCUGGGGCGCAGUGAGGCCUUGGGUUCCCCCUCCAACAGCACAAGAAAAGAGGUAGAGGCUAACAUUUUUAAAUUAUAAAACAACUGGUAGUGCUCACAUGUAAUCCCAGUACUCAGGGGGCUGAGGAAGAAGGCUUUGUGAGUUCAAGGCUGCCCUGGGCUAGACUGAGCCGUUAAAGCCUGCCUAGGGUACAUAGACCGUACCCCACUACCACCAAAUCACUUGGAGACUUACGAUACUGUAUUUAUGACAGAGCAUGCAGUUUCAAGGAGGAAGCAUCCAGAAAACAAAAGCACAGUUUAAUCGAAAGCCUGUAGCAGAAUUUUUUUUUCAUUAGAAAACUUUAAAUAGAAAAUUUUUGUUGUGGUGGUUGUUUGUGGAGGUAGAAAUCUUCCUGUGUAGCCUAGCUGGCCAAGAACUUACCAUUUAGACCAGGCUAGCCCAAAACUUCAGCAAGUCCUCCUGCCUCAACCUCCUAAGUGUGCUGAGAUUACAGGUGUGCGUAUUCCUGUGUAAAAAAAAGAGGUUUUCUAGCUUUUCCUCAGAUGGUGAAAAUGGUAGCUUAUAUUCAUUACAUGCAUUUUAAUGUAUAUUUUGACAUAAUACAUAAGAUUAUGUAUCGAACAGCUGUGGUGUUCCUUUUUUUUUUUCCUCGUUUUUUUAGAUGAGCACAUUCUUUUCUUUACCUCUCAAAAGCAGAGCCGCAGGCCCAGUUCAGCGGCAGAGUAUUUGCUGCACAUGCUCCAAGGCCUGGGUUCCAUUCCUAGCACUACAGUAAGAGAAUACAAAACCACAGGAGAUUGAAAUAAAAUAUAGGAGAGGGUGGGGUGGAAACGAUGCAGAUAAAGUACUCAUUUGAAACUCACAAAUGUAAAAAAUAAAUUAGACAACCUGCUCGCAAACCCCAAAUAAUGAAAGCCCAAAUCCCAGACGGGGAAAAGAAAUAGAGAAGGAGUUAGGAUACAACAGUGAUAGAGGACUUGCCUGGCUUGUAUAAAACCCCAGGUAAGAGCAAGAAUAGCAAGAGCCACUAGAUGCCUAGCACAGUCUCUGAAAACAGACCUCUGCUGACUUCUACCAUUGUGGAAUUUCAAAAUUCUGUAGACAAAAAGUAUGAUUCCAAUGUCCAGAGUAGAACUCCAUAGAGAAUAUGAGUUCAUUCUGGCUACAUAGCAUGACCCAGUCUCACAGAUAGAUAGAUAGAUAGAUAGAUAGAUAGAUAGAUAGAUAGAUAGAUAGAUAGAUAGAUAGGAUGGACAGACGGACUGGCAGACAAACUCUUCUGCAGGUGGAGGCACUUACCACCAAGCUGACGACCCGAAUUCAAGCCCCACAACCCAUAUAAUACAAGAAGAGAACCCAGUCCCAUAAUCUGUCUUCUGACCUCCACAUGGCACCCACACAUGCUUUUAUACACACAUAAAUAAACAAAUGAAGAAAUAAGUAAAUGUGAAAAAGCUAAAAGGCCAAACAAACACAAAGCAAUAUAUAAACUGCAUCUGAAAUAAGAAAAUAUAAGAAGCAUGGAGGUGCCUGCCUAUAGUACCAGCUUAUCAGAAAGCUGAAGCAGAAUUGAGAAUUUAAGGCCAGUGUGACACAUAUACAAAGUUACAUGCCAGUCCAAGCUAUAUAACAAGACCUGAGCCAGGCAUAGUGGUUCAUGCCUUUAAUCUCAGCCCUCAGGCUCUCUGAGUUCGAAACCAGCCUGGUCUACAAAGCAAAUUUAGGACAGCUAGGGCUACAUAGAAUAAUCCUGUCUUGAAAAACAAAAACAAAAAAACAAGGCCUGAGACCUUGUUUCAAAACAAA